AAGACUCGAAGACAAAUAGUGUAAGACGAAGCUAAAGAGCAUAUCUGGAGCCAUGGUGAUGGCAGGAAGAUGAAGCGGCCAGAUUUGACCGGUGGCCGAAGACGAAGACGAACAGGCGCAUGGAGGAAGACGAACAGAGGAAGACGACCACAAAGACGACUGAGGGAAUGACUCAGUUUGGACGGCCUAAACGAGAGCAAUCACUUCUAGAUCUGGCGACGGACGAGCCUAAAUGCAAGAAACCACGAAGGGGUGGCUCGGCCAUGGAUGGCCAAUGGCUGCGAGCCGCACGCGACUGAGAUGGUGGCCCGGCCAUGGACCAUGGCUCCAGAUGUCGCCUUGUCGAUCAUGUACCAGUGAUGUCACAGGCCAGAUCUAGUUGGCUCCGUCUUCUGGUGGUCCCCGUGACUCCGGCCAGAACUGUAGCGAAGAAGGAGAGGGGAUGAAGAGGAGAAAAAAUUAUAUCUGUUUCUUACAAUUCCAGCUCAGUAUUCACAUGUCAAGUUCUAAUUGGAUAUUGGAAAAACAAAAAUGCACGCCACAUCAGCAGUUUUCAAAAGGACCUCCUUUGUAAGAAGUUUGACCUUGUCUGUUUGAUUUAUCUCCCGAUGUGCAUCAUAAGAAUUGAUUCCAAAUCACCCCCUUUUUUUUUUCUUUUUUUUUUUUUUGUGAAUCUUUUCUUGUUGCACUAAUUUACUUGGUUAUAUGUCACCUGAUUCCAGCAGCUCUAGCUGGGCAUAUGCAACAUCUCACGCUUUCAGUAUAACCACAACAUAUGUGGCCUCAAGCAAAUUCUUUGACUCCUCAAGAUCACCUGACGUCAUGCAUCCAAUAUAUCAGCACAGAAGUUUUUGAAGUAAACAAAUUUCAAUUUAUGUGGAUUUAGACGUCAAUUUAGGCAGUGUUGCCGUCAUAUCACAUUCCGUUUGUCUCUUUAGUUUUGGGUUUCGUGGUUGUAUAAUAGUGCUUUAGCUGUUCUAGUGAGGUUCAUUUUGUCAAAGGUCUAAUGACAAAAGCUUCAGAGUUCUUAGGCUACCUAAGGAAUACACAGUUACAAGCAAGCAAUCAUGUCACCCAAACACAUGACUGCAUGCUUAAUCAUGUUAGAGUCUGUAAAUUCGUUAAAUUCACAAGCCAUUUUGAAGAUGUACUCUGCGAGAAGUUUCUUUGUGAGAAGGAUGAUAUUUUUGCAAGAAUCACUUGAGUCCAUAUGGGCAUAAAAUCCUGUACCGAACAUUCGAGAGCUUGUUAUCAUCUUACUUGUAGAGGCCAAGGAAUUCGAUCUACCAAUGCUAAUUUGGCAACCUAUCCACUACCACUACACAAGAAAGGUAUUGACAAAUAUCUGUUGGAAUUAAUGGGACACCUCGUGUGUGAAAGUAUACGUACAAGGUGAUUGCUCUGUGUUCGACCAUAGGCAGAAGCAAGCAGUUGGGGAGAAUAUCUUAGCUUAUGAUAAUUUUGUCUGGUCCUCAUUAAGGAAAACCAAGGAAAGUAACAUAAAGAAUGUAGAGACAGAGCACCACACAUCUUUUGUUGUUACGGCAAAGAGAAUGACUUGCAUUUUGAAGCGAUCGUUGAUUUCUACUCGAAACUGGAUUUUUCUGCAUCUAUUUCCAUGGUGAAAUUAUGACAUAACGUCUUAGUCUUAACUUCUAUGCUUCCCUAUAUUAUGUCUUGAAGCCAACUGAAUUGCGUGCAUCUGUGCUUUGACAACAUUCAGGCUAAAGCUGGAGCUGGCUUGGCAACACUGUCAAUGGCGAGUCCUUUUAUUCACCCUCGAGAUGUAGUCUUAACUUCUAUGCUUCCCUAUAUUAUGUCUUGAAGCCAACUGAAUUGUGUGCAUCUGUGCUUUGACAACAUUCAGGCUAAAGCUGGAGCUGGCUUGGCAACACUGUCAAUGGCGAGUCCUUUUAUUCACCCUUGAGAUGUAGUCCGAUCUCUUUCAUGAAUGGGAACUUUGAUGGCUCUUUAAUAUGCAGACUCUUUUUACAUGCUUAAAUAAUGUAAAAAUGAAAUGCGAAGGCAUAUGCUGCUGUCACGUCUGCCGAUGCAUGCCUGCGUGGUUUUUAGGGUGAAGCUGGAAUUGUCAGUUGUCCCCAUCUUUCAGUUGACUGAACUUCCGUUCUUCGCAUCUAAAGUGCACCUCGGUCGUGCUGGGCUGAGGAGGCUCUUCCCUUUGGCCCGCUGAAUGAGUAUGAAAGAGCUGGCUUGGAAAAGGCAAAGAAAGAGCUGGUGGCGAGUAUACAGAUGGGCAUUUUAUUUAUCAAAAAGCGGGCGGGUUAGAGAUGUGGCUUUUGGCAAGGAAAAAAAUGUCUUCUUCAUAAUUUCUGCUUAUUUUUCUACUCAGAAUCAGUACGUGGGAACAAGUGGUUCAGACCUAGGAAGAUAUCAAAGUUCAUUUUACAUAGAUGCCUUAGAAAACAGAGAGGUUUUUUUAUUUUUUUUAUUUUUUCUUGCAUGUAAUGUACUCAAAUGGUAAUCUGUGUAUAA